rnacentral:lncRNA from 1 species
CUUUGGAGUAUUAUGUAGACAGGGCAAUGAGUAUUUGAAUACUCAUCAGAAUCACUGGAAGAGUUUUAAAAGUCACCCCAGACCAACACCAUCAGCAUCUCCGGGAAGAGGGCCUGGGAAUGGGUAUUUAUUUGAACAUGUUUUAAGGUCAGUCUGUUCUGAUUCAGGUUUGUGGACCACCAUCCCUGAUGCUCCUUCCUGGCCAUCUCCAUUUUGGUCUGCUCGACUACCAUCUCCUAUUCUCAAUUCUUGCUUGGCACAUGAUUAUUUUGUAAGUUUUAAAUUCAAAAUUGUCCAUAUUCAUGCAUUGUGGGUUGGCAUGGUUAAAAACACCCAGUGGGGUUUCUGUUAUUUUUUAGAAAGGCAAUUUUAAGUUUUCCCAUUAAAUUGAAGUUUAGGAGGGUUCUGUUUUGCAAAAGGAGUCAGUGCUGAAGAAUGUGGCUGCUCCAGAAGCCUGUCUCCAAGGCAGUCUGUGAGAGUUCCAGGUUGCUGGGGUGACCGCAGCUGGGAGGCAGCUAUUGUAUUUAGAUGUCUUGCACUUAAUUCCCUUGCCAGCAGCUGGGAAUACCUGUUGGAAGAGGAGAGCUUCUUUCCCUCUGAUUUAAGAAGAGUAUGGAAAGUUUCUUUCCUCCAGCUCCAAAAGGAAUCAGGGGUCUGUGUUGGCUGCAGAGGGGAUCAUCUCUUUCUGCUUGUUCCCAAGGUGAAGAAAGAGGACCCAGAUGGGACUGGGACCUUCCUAACCAAUCAGAAGAGGAAAAACCCAACUAAGGCAGUUCCUUCAUCGAGCUGAAACAGACCUGGCUUUGCUUAUCUCUAAGGAUGUUAAUGGGCAGAGAGCCCUCUGUGACUGACCAGUGGAACUGAGUAAAUGCAAAAUGGCCACCUACAUGACCUCUGAUAGACCCCAAGCCUGUAUGCUAAGUAACACCCCCCCCCCCCACAAGAGUCCUGACAGUUGACAAAUGUCUUGACUUCGGACAGAAAGAGCCGUAAAAGGAACAGAAAGAGGUGGCACCCUAAUUCCUGAAAAGUCUCUAUUUAUUCCAAGAAUAGACAUGAGUAUUCUUCCCCUUUAUUGCCUAUCCUUCUCUUUCGUCUUUCACCCUGUAUCCAUGACUUCGCCAUCCCUGAAUGCAGAGGACUUGAAUCGUGAGCUAGACUCUAAUUCUCAGUCCUUUGAUUGCUGAAUAAACUUGCGCUACAGGUA